CGUCGGAAUCAGCCUUUGCGCAUUCUUCUGAGCUCGGAUUUAGGGUUUAGCAUUCUGGUUCUAAUGGCGUUUAAUGAUAUUGAUUAUCGGAUUUGUUUGUGCUCUUUUGUUAGAUUUUGAUGUGUUUAAUGGCAUAAUCACGAUUUAGCUAAGGGCUCCGGGCCAACUGCGUUUUCCGGUGGGAAAUGUAAUCCGUCUCCGAUGCUUAUUUGGGCCAGCUUUGGAGGUCGAGCCAGUCUGCAAACAGGCCCACUUCCCAAACUAUCAAUGAUGUAACCAUUACAGAUCUGGAACCUCGUUGAAGAUAAUUGAAACAGUCAGAAGCCAUGUUUAGGUGUUUUAUCUGUUUGUAGACUGGCUCGAAGUUAUAAACAAACUCUAUCAAUGUCUACACUCCAAUUACGACAUGUUCUUCUGGUUUCGGCGUGAUUCAUAUGUACGCAUUCUUACAUGACUCAACCCAAGAGACACUGAUUAGGCUAUAAAUUGA